rnacentral:rRNA from 1 species
AGUCGAGGGGCAGCAUGGUCUUAGCUUGCUAAGGCUGAUGGCGACCGGCGCACGGGUGAGUAACACGUAUCCAACCUGCCGCCUACUCUUGGCCAGCCUUCUGAAAGGAAGAUUAAUCCAGGAUGGGAUCAUGAGUUCACAUGUCCGCAUGAUUAAAGGUAUUUUCCGGUAGACGAUGGGGAUGCGUUCCAUUAGAUAGUAGGCGGGGUAACGGCCCACCUAGUCAACGAUGGAUAGGGGUUCUGAGAGGAAGGUCCCCCACAUUGGAACUGAGACACGGUCCAAACUCCUACGGGAGGCAGCAGUGAGGAAUAUUGGUCAAUGGGCGAUGGCCUGAACCAGCCAAGUAGCGUGAAGGAUGACUGCCCUAUGGGUUGUAAACUUCUUUUAUAAAGGAAUAAAGUCGGGUAUGC